rnacentral:rRNA from 1 species
CAAUAGCGUAUAUUAAAGUUGUUGCAGUUAAAAAGCUCGUAGUUGGAUUUGUGGCGUACGGUGUGUUCCGGGCACUUGUUGUCUGAGUAACCUGCUGUUGCCAUCCUUGGGUGGAACCUGUGUGGCAUUAGGUUGUCGUGCAGGGGAUGCCCAUCAUUUACUGUGAAAAAAUUAGAGUGUUCAAAGCAGGCUUAUGCCGUUGAACAUAUUAGCAUGGAAUAAUGAGAUAGGACUUUUUUGCUAUUUUGUUGGUUUGCGCAAAGAGGUAAUGAUUAAUAGGGACAGUUGGGGGUAUUCGUAUUCCAUUGUCAGAGGUGAAAUUCUUGGAUUUUUGGAAGACGAACUACUGCGAAAGCAUUUACCAAGGAUGUUUUCAUUAA